rnacentral:snoRNA from 1 species
UCGUCUUUUGCCGGACUCGGUCGGCAGUAUCCCUCCCCUGCCGAUCUUGAGUAGGAUAUGCUCAAGACCUUUAGGGGUCUUGACGCGUACUAGACAAGAGUAAGAGACUUUCUGGUUUCUACAACGUUCUUUGAGUACGGGACCUCCAACCUGGAUACCAGGUGAUGUGGGGGAUUUCGUAAUUAUUCUGUUGUAACACU